AGCGGGAUAGAGCAGAGGUAGCUCGCCGGGCUCAUUACCCGGAGGUCGCAGGUUCGAAUCCAGCUCCCGCUACUA
rnacentral:tRNA from 1 species